CAAGCCGGCCAUAGCGGCAGGGCGCGACCCGGUCCCAUUCCGAACCCGGAAGUCAAACCUGUCGUCGCUGCUGUAAUAC
rnacentral:rRNA from 1 species